UUUGGGGGAAGUAGUGGUCUGUUAAGUUGGGGAAAAAGACAUUAUCCCUUGAGGUAAAAUUAGGUUUGCUUCCUUUUACUCCCAAAAUCUUUUUACCGUGGGUAAAAAAAUUAUCAUGGGGGUAUAAAAGGAACCAAAUUUAAAUUUAACUCAAGGAAUCAUGAUGUCGUUUUCCCCAACAGGACGUGUCAUUAUUUUCUCCAAG
rnacentral:pre_miRNA from 1 species